CCACACCUAAAAACUCUCCACGUGAACUGUUUGUAUCAGAUUAGCGCCGAGAUUUUCGUGCGUGUUUGUGGUAUCGCGAUGUAUUCGUACGUGGCGUUAGCAAGCAUUGUAUGGAGCUUGGCUGAUCGAAGGUCGGUGCGCACCUUGUGUGUGUGUUGGCUGAUUAACCUUUCAAACCCUUUAAAUUAAUACUGAUUAUACUGUGAGGACGAAAGUCUUUGCUUUUAUCUAGAUAACAACUUUCAGCAGUGGAUGUCUAGGCUCGCACAUCGAUGAAGAACGCUGCGAACUGCGAUACGUAAUGCGAAUUGCAGAAUUCAGUGAGUCAUCGAAAUUUUGAACGCAUAUUGCACUUUCGGGUUAUACCUGGAAGUAUGUCUGUAUCAGUGUCCGUACAUCAAACUUGUCUCUUUUUGUCGGUGUAGUCCGAUCGAGAGUAUGGCAGACGUGAGGUGUCUCGCGACUCGUAUAUCAUUGUGUGUGUAAAUCGUAAGAGAUACAUACAUAAGCUAGUAUAUAACUUGUUGCGAGUCCCUUUAAAACGACACGAUCUUUCUAUUUGCUUUCUAUGGAGCGUGUAUUUCGAACGCGGUGGUCCUCGGAUCGCUUGCAGUCGGCAGCGACUUCAGUGAAGACAUAGUGAAGAAACCUCUAUUCGCGGUACGUUAGGCUUCGGCUCGACAAUGUUGCGUUCUAGUGUGUGGACUCCGUUUUCACUUUGAGGUGUACUGUUCGGUUGUGGGUUUGAGCCUUGGUAUUGCUUUGUUAGUAGAGAUAUGUCGAUUUUCUGUAGUUUGAUUCUGCAUACACGCAAGUGUGUGUGGGUAGAGAGUAUCUAUUUGGGAAAUUUUGUACUGCGUGCGCUUUCGAGUGUGUGUAUGUAUCUCAAUUGGACCUGAUAUCAGACAAGACUACCCGCU
rnacentral:rRNA from 1 species